rnacentral:ncRNA from 1 species
UCAAACUCAAUGAAAAGAAGAGUACAUAAUUAGACAUUUUGCUGAAAAACUUAACUUCAGAAGUAAGAGAGCUUUCGUUUGGUGGAAGAAAGUAAUGGCUAAUUUUGGAAGAUGGUCUUGGAGAGGAAAUGGCACAAAAGUGUCCUUUACGGCAGCUACCGUUAUUAAAGCGCCAAAUUGCAAGAAGACUUAAGAUUUGGAUUAAGAUGGAUUUUCCUAAAAAAAGGUGGUACCGCGAUAAUCGCCCUUUAC